CUUUGUUUGAAGAAUCAAGAAAAGUAGUGUCCGAACUUGAACCAAGAAGUACUAUGAUUUUAAAAACGAUAAAAGCACAAAAGAAACGUAAACACGAACAAUGGAUUCAAAGGAAUAAUUGACAAUCUAGUAAGAGUUUACUAGUUUAUUAAUUAGUACGAGGAUCAAUUAAAUGAAAUGAAGGAUCAACAAAUAAUAAACAAAGACAUCUAAAAUUUGAGCUUAAAAUUGUUAGUGAACAGUAAAACGUGAUGUGGCAGCCACGUAUUGUUGCAGUUGUUAUCAAAUUUUAUUUUCCAAUUCAAGCCUUGAUGCAAUUUUAAUUUGGAAUUGGUGGGAAUUGGUUAAGGAGGGAAAACAAGUCUUGAAAUCCUCUUUCAAAUUCAAAAAGCAAGACUUGACUUUUCUCCUCAAGACAAGGUCCUUAAAUCAUGGAAAGGUUGUUGAGAAGUGAUUGAUAGGUCUUUAGUGGUUGGGGUCUUUGAAGACUAACAAGUUUCUACACCUUUUCCUUCACCUUUUUGGAUCAAAUAAGCACUUUAUUUUUUUUAGAAAAGUAUGAAUUUAGUGAUGAACAUCAAGAACAACAACAACAUUCACCAAGAACAACAACAACAAUUUUCAAGAACACCAACAAUUCCCUUUUCACGGUCCACUCUAAACCCACACAAUAUUGUCUCACACGGCCAAGACUACCAUAUAUUUAAUAAAAUUGGUCUUAGGACACCAAUUUUAUAACAACAUCACACGGAUAAACUAAGAACAACAAAAAUGUUCACAUUACAAUUCCAAAUCAUGUAUUGGUUGCUGUUGUUAUCAAAUUUUAUUUUCUAAUUCAAGCCUUGAUCCAAUUGUAAUUUGGAAUUGGUGGGAAUUGGUUAAGGAGGGAAAAAAAGUCUUGAAAUCCUCUUUCAAAUUCAAAAAGCAAUACUUGACUUUUAUUCUCAAGACAAGGUCCUUAAAUCAUGGAAAAGUUGUUGAGAAGUGAUUGAUAGGUCUUUAGUGGUUGGGGGU
rnacentral:lncRNA from 1 species